GAUGAACGCUAGCGAUAGGCUUAACACAUGCAAGUCGAGGGGCAGCACAAGGUAGCUUGCUAUCUGGGUGGCGACCGGCGCACGGGUGCGUAACGCGUAUGCAACUUGCCCUAUACAGGAGGAUAACCCGUCGAAAGACGGACUAAUACUGCGUAUGCUCACAACUUGGCAUCAAGUGGUGAGGAAAGAAAUUCGGUAUAGGAUAGGCAUGCGUCCCAUUAGCUUGUUGGUGAGGUAACGGCUCACCAAGGCAACGAUGGGUAGGGGAACUGAGAUGUUUAUCCCCCACACUGGUACUGAGACACGGACCAGAAUCCUACGGGAGGCAGCAGUGAGGAAUAUUGGUCAAUGGGCGCGAGCCUGAACCAGCCAAGUCGCGUGAAGGAUGACUGUCUUAUGGAUUGUAAACUUCUUUUAUACGGGAAUAACAAGAGUCACGUGUGACUCCCUGCAUGUACCGUAUGAAUAAGCAUCGGCUAACUCCGUG
rnacentral:rRNA from 1 species